rnacentral:sRNA from 1 species
GCCGGGCGCGGUGGCACAGGCCUGUAAUCCUGGAGGCUUGGGAGGCUGAGGCAGGAGGAUCACAAGUUCAAAGCUAGCCUCAGCCACUCAGCAAGGCGCUGAGCAACUCAGUGAGACCCUGUCUCUA